rnacentral:rRNA from 1 species
AUUGAACGCUGGCGGCAUGCCUUACACAUGCAAGUCGAACGGCAGCACGGGUGCUUGCACCUGGUGGCGAGUGGCGAACGGGUGAGUAAUAUAUCGGAACGUACCUUAUUGUGGGGGAUAACGCAGCGAAAGCUGUGCUAAUACCGCAUAAUCCCUUAGGGGGAAAGCGGGGGACCGUAAGGCCUCGCGCAAUUAGAGCGGCCGAUACCUGAUUAGCUAGUUGGUGAGGUAAAGGCUCACCAAGGCAACGAUCAGUAGCUGGUCUGAGAGGACGAUCAGCCACACUGGGACUGAGACACGGCCCAGACUCCUACGGGAGGCAGCAGUGGGGAAUUUUGGACAAUGGGCGAAAGCCUGAUCCAGCCAUGCCGCGUGAGUGAAGAAGGCCUCGGUUGUAAG